UACGUAGGGGGCAAGCGUUGUUCGGAAUUACUGGGCGUAAAGGGCGCGUAGGCGGCAUGGCAAGUCGGGAGUGAAAGGCCUGGGCUCAACCCAGGAACUGCCUUCGAGACUGCCAAGCUAGAGUGCGGAAGGGGCAACUGGAAUUCCCAGUGUAGCGGUGAAAUGCGUAGAUAUUGGGAAGAACACCGGUGGCGAAGGCGGGAUCCUGGGCCAGUACUGACGCUGAGGAGCGAAAGCGUGGGGAGCAAACAGG
rnacentral:rRNA from 1 species